UAUAGGUUUGGUCCCAGCCUUCCUGUUAACUUUCAAUAGACUUAUACAUGCAAGCAUCCACGCCCCGGUGAGUAACGCCCUUCGAAUCACACAGGACUAAAAGGAGCAGGUAUCAAGCACACACUCUUGUAGCUCACAAGGCCUUGCUUAACCACACCCCCACGGGAGACAGCAGUAACAAAAAUUAAGCCAUAAACGAAAGUUUGACUAAGCCAUAUUGACUAGGGUUGGUAAAUCUCGUGCCAGCCACCGCGGUCAUACGAUUGACCCAAGCUAACAGGAGUACGGCGUAAAGCGUGUUAAAGCAUCAUACUAAAUAGAGUUAAAUUUUAAUUAAACUGUAAAAAGCCAUAAUUAUAACAAAAAUAAAUGACGAAAGUAACCCUACAAUAGCUGAUACACCAUAGCUAAGACCCAAACUGGGAUUAGAUACCCCACUAUGCUUAGCCCUAAACACAAAUAAUUAU
rnacentral:rRNA from 1 species